rnacentral:rRNA from 1 species
GAGUUUGAUCCUGGCUCAGGAUGAACGCUAGCGGCAGGCCUAAUACAUGCAAGUCGAACGAGACGUUUUUCUUCGGAGAAACUGAAAGUGGCGCACGGGUGCGUAACGCGUAUGCAACCUACCCUUAACAGGGGGAUAGCCCAGAGAAAUUUGGAUUAAUACCCCAUAGUAUUACAAGAUGGCAUCUGAAAGUAAUUAAAGAUUUAUCGGUUAAGGAUGGGCAUGCGUGACAUUAGAUAGUUGGUGAGGUAACGGCUCACCAAGUCAACGAUGUCUAGGGGUUCUGAGAGAAUGAUCCCCCACACUGGUACUGAGAUACGGACCAGACUCCUACGGGAGGCAGCAGUAGGGAAUAUUGCACAAUGGAGGAAACUCUGAUGCAGCGAUGCCGCGUGAGUGAAGAAGGCCUUUGGGUUGUAAAGCUCUUUCGUCGGGGAAGAAAAUGACGGUACCCGAAUAAGAAGGUCCGGCUAACUUCGUGCCAGCAGCCGCGGUAAUACGAAGGGACCUAGCGUAGUUCGGAAUUACUGGGCUUAAAGAGUUCGUAGGUGGUUAAAAAAGUUGGUUGUGAAAUCCCGAAGCUUAACUUCGGAACUGCAAUCAAAACUUUUUAGCUAGAGUAUGAUAGAGGAAAGCAGAAUUUCUAGUGUAGAGGUGAAAUUCGUAGAUAUUAGAAAGAAUACCAAUUGCGAAGGCAGCUUUCUGGAUCAUUACUGACACUGAGGAACGAAAGCAUGGGUAGCGAAGAGGAUUAGAUACCCUCGUAGUCCAUGCCGUAAACGAUGUGU